rnacentral:lncRNA from 1 species
AAUUAUCUCCCAUACUCCAAAACUCACAAAAACAUCAAGAGUCCGCUGAGAAUAAAUUUAAGUAAAAAACAUGCACACACAGAUAAUAAUAAUAAUCAUGUUUCCAUAAAAUUGCUAAGUCCAGAGAUAAUACAUAAACAUAGUAGACUGUUCAUGACACAUAUCACGGUGGACAGUGUUUGUGUCCUUAUUACAAGCAACGAGAGAUGCUCGUCACCAACACGCGCGCGCACAGAUGCACGACAUACAUAUAGUAGAGACCAACAGAUGGUCGUCCCAUAUGGUGAACAAUUUAUUGGAGAUAAAUAUUAACGUAACUUGGCCAUAGCUUGAAGCAUAGCAACAUAUGCCUAUGAGUGGCAUUCAUGCUAUCGUUUUAGGCUUGUCCAGCUCCUUCCAUCUUAGCAAGCACUUCCAUUUCUACCAUCUUAGCAGCAACUGUCAAAUUGAGAUACGGAAAUCCCAUUAGCGCAUGAGUUAAUUUUGCAGUGGAAAUAGAGUACAAGAUGUCUUCAUGAUGUAAGUAAUAUGCCUGAAGUUGUGAGAUGGGAAGUGAAGUCAACAAAUUACAUUAACGGAAAUGCAUGGAAGGCCACACAUACGUAUUAGUCCAUGAUAUGCUACAAAGCUUGUAUGUACAUAUAGCAAAUUAAAUGCAUUAAUUGAAUAGAGUGUGUUUAGUGAAUUUACCAGAAUCGUCCAGAAAACAUGGGAAACAGCAAGUGUUCUUGCAGACUGCGUCGGAGGCACCCGCACGAAUACAAAGCUGACAACAUAGUUUUGCCUGGGCGGAUGCGCAGCAGCCGCACUCCGCCGCGGUGGGGUUAACAUUGAGGCUCAAGAUGACCAGGCACAUGAUCACCAUCAAAGUGGUAGUCCUCUUUCCCUCCAUUGCCUCCUCUUAGCUUGCUGCUACCUUCCUUGGUUACCUAGCUAAGUUUAUUGGUUUUGUGUUGAGAGGUGUGAUUCUUGAAUGGACGUUGCCGGCGGCAAUUUAUAGGCAGCUGAGCUAUGUGAUGAUAUGGACUAGGUGCAAAUGGGUGGUUAAUGGCAAGGAAAGGGGCGUCAGACAAAGCCCAAUGGCAACUGCUGACAUGCGAUUAAAUUCAGAUCCACAUCCGGCCAUUCAAUAAUACGGUUGGAGUUGUGGCACAGAUAUAUUAUUGCAUGAUCAUCAAGAUAAGAUCGUACAGUGACUGAGUGAGACAAUAAAUAGCCAAGUAAACUAUUUUAUCCUGCUGCAAGCUGCAUUCAUAAGUUUAUUUCACCUUUGAUCACAAUACUCUUCACACACGUACGUCUCAGGGAGAUCUCACUUCCGCUGGACUGCUCACUUCCGCUGUCGUCGGUACUGCCAAAGACAUAAGCUCACAUCUGCUAUUGCGGAGCAGGCCAAUUUGCUGCGGAACUUCGGCGACGACCUGAAGGACAUGAACUCGGUGCUGGAGUCCAUCUCAGCAGCGCUCUAGGACGCUGACACCGGUAGAAAAACGACCUUCCAUCGUCAACAAAAAUCCCGGUAGCUUUUUUACUCGGUACUAAAGAGGUUUUAAUCUCGUGCAAACACCUUUAGUCCAGAUUGCUAUUACCACGCAACCCGGACUAAAGCGUCCCCCGCGAGUUAGUAUAUAAGGAUUGCAUCCUUUACUCAGUCAGAUAUAAUAUGUAGGUGAGAUGGUAAGGAAGCUAUGCGUGAGGCUUCAGGUUGUGGGUUCGAAUCCAAGUGGGUGCAGCUGUGGCUUAAGCGGCUGAGGCACGCCGCCAUAGACAUCUCAGAUUUGCUCGAAGACUACCAAGACACUAGUGAACCCUUAACAGUAAAGGUGAGUACUUAUGAAUGUCAGCAUCCAUGUUGUCCAUGCUUCCAAUGUAAUAACAAGAUGGACUACUCUUCCUAGCGGACUCUUCACAACCACUCGUAAAGCUAUGCGUUUCUCAAUGCAAUUUCGUAGAAGCCAAUCGAUCCAACCAAGUGACUAAAUCAUUCGUCCUUUCCAAUGAUGUGCAUCAGGUUUUCUAUAUGAAGGGCAUGUCUAGCAAACCUAAGAUUUCAGAAGAAAAAGAAAAAUCAUUGGAGCCAAAGAGCCACAUAGUUCUUCUAGGAAAAAAAUCAUGGGAGUCGAGAACAUAUCAAACCAAUCAGGGGAUUAUGGUCAGCUUAAUGGCAUGCCUCCAUUCGAUGUCGAAGUUCACCCAAGCAUCAUGUUAGCCAAACAUCAAAUGUUCGUGCGUUGUUACGGUAAAGAUCAAUUGUGUUUUUUAAACUCUUGGAAUUUUUUUAUCUAAGUUUUUAUUUACACUUAUUGGAUGUCUACACAUUUGCUAGAAAACUAAAAUAAUUUGGACUUAAUUAUUUCUUUCAACUGAAGUACUCACUAAAUUUCUACCUUUUUAUUUAAGCAAGAGAGUUGCUAAAAAAAAUGGAUACGUAACCAUGUUGUAUCAUACAAAGUAACCACGUUUCACAUAUAGUCCGGCUUAGCAAACACCAUUGUUUUCUGAACAUAGCGUACAUGAGUUAACAGACAUGGAUUUAUUUCUAUUGCAAGUAGCAUAGCGUACAACCUGCCUGCACCGAUGCAGCUCAAUAUGCGAUAAUUUUUAUCUUCCCAUGUAAUUUUUCUACUCUAGUACAUAUUGAACUCCACAUUAAUGUCAUGUUCUUUCGCGCCCCAGAAGGUUCCUAAAGUUUGGAAACUUAAUAGAUAGCCAGAAUUUUUUUUAAAGAUAUUUAUAUGGAUACUUGUAUGUUCUUUCCAAACUAACAAUAUUGUUUACCAAUAUCAGAAGGAAUAUGGUUAGGAGCCAUUGCCGCAUAUGGCAGGUGAUGGUAGAUGGCGUAUGGGGUUUCGUUAAUUUAAUGGUAUAAUAAGCUGAAAUACAUUUUCUAUUUGCAAAUGAAUCAUAGCUGAAAUUGGUGGGAUUGUUUUUUCGCCGGUUUAGCAUCCUGUGCACCAGUUCAACCGGAGGGAAGCUGUUUUUUUUCUUUGGUUUUCCACCGGUUCACCGAGACCGAUGACAAUUUUAUGGCAGAAUCAUUACUUGUUUUACUAUUAGGUGAAGAUUUUAGCGUUUAGGUAUCUCACAUUAAACGCAACUUCAACAAUCUAUUUCUAGUGUAUAAUGUAGGAGACCCCGUAAAGAGUCUACACACACAUAUAUGUUGACUAUGAAUGUAAGUUUGUUGGUUUUAUGUAUGUUCGUUUGGAGUUUAUAUAAAUUUUACAUUUUAUAGUUUUGUGUAUAUGACGAAGAUCCAUGACUUGCAUUAAUUUAGCCUUUCUUCCAACAACUCUUAUGCAUGAUGUUUCUAGGCGAGCGUACUGGUUGCAAUUUUGGUCCCCGAUAUAGUGUGAGGACUUAAGGGACACGUGCAGGUCGUAACCUUAGAUAUUUUUGCUGAGAAUGGAUGAAGAAGCAAUAAUAUACUUUGCUUCUGAUUUUCUCCAUGUCAUUUGCUUACUCUUAUCCCUUUUAUUUAUCAUUAUAAGAUGAAAAUAUUGUAAAAACUUGGCUACGUGCGGUCGCAGAAGCUAGAGACUAAAGCGUCCCCCACGAGUUACUAUAUAAAAGGAUUGCAUCCUCUACUCAGUCAUAUGUACUGUGUAGGUGAGAUGGUAAGGAAGCUAUGUGUGAGGCUUGAGGUUGUAGGUUCGAAUCCCACGCACCGCGUGCGCAUGCGCAUAUUUUGCGUGAAAAAUCGCAUGACUUGUGGUCGGCCAAGGAGAAGUGCGUGCGGCUGAGGCACGCCGCCAUAGACAUCUCGGAUUUGCUCCAAGACUACCAAGACACUAGCGAACCCUUAACGGCAAAGUUGAGUACUUACGCGUGUUAGCAUCUAUGUUGUCCAUGCUUCCAAUGCAAUAACAAGAAGGGCUACUCAUCCUAGCGGAUUCUUCACAACCACUCGUAAAGCUAUGCGUUUCUCAAUGCAAUUUCGUAGAUGUCAAUCGAUCCAACCAAGCGACUGAAUCAUUCGUCCUUGCUAAUGAUGUGCAUCAGGUUUUCUAUAUGAAGAACAUGUCUAGCAAAUCCAAGAUUUCAGAAGAAAAAUAAAAAUCAUGAGAACCAAAGCACCACGUAGUUCUUCCAGGUAAAAAAAACAAUCAUCCACUGGGAUGACACACAGUAGCGAUCCAAAACGUCCAUAUUAAGACUUUUUGAUAGCAGAAAAAACAUGAAAAUGUCUAAUAUUUGUAGUAUUAAAAGGAAAAAUAAUAUAUUCACUUGACCUUUUUUUCGUAGCAACGCACCGGUGCGUAGUCAGACUUAGGCCACGUUUGGAUACUCCCUACUAAAGUUUAGCACCUGUCACAUAGGAUGUUUGGAUACUAAUUAGGAGUAUUAAACAUAGGCUAAUUAUAAAACUAAUUGAACAGAUGGAGUCUAAUUUGCGAGACGAAUCUAUUAAGCCUAACUAGUCCAUGAUUUGACAAUGUGGUGCUACAGUAACCAUUUGCUAAUGGUGGAUUAAUUAGGCUUAAUAGAUUCGUCUCGCGAAUUAACAUAGGGUUCUGCAAUUAAUUUUAUAAUUAGCUCAUGUCUAGUCCUUCUAAUUAGCAUCCGAACAUCUGAUAUGAUACUGCUAAAGUUUAUCACCUAGUAUCCAAAUACCCCCUUAAUGCACGAUGCCUGUGCAUCCACUGGGCCUACCCUCGUGGAUCACGCGCUCGUGGAUCACGCGCACCAUGACAUGGCUCAUUAGCUAGUCGUGCUAAUCCUUACCACCAAAUUAAAAACUAGCAUGUGUUGUGUGUUUGUGACCCUAAACGACUACCACCUUCCCGAGUCCACCGGAGUUGCCAGUUCACCACUAAGCUGACUCUCCGAGCUUCAUGUCACUGUCACCGCUCCAAAGACCUAGAUCGGUUCGCUGUGCACCCCGCUUCGUCCUGAGCUAAAUCCCAUCACGAAAGGUGACCGGAUGCUCGUUUUCGAGCGAAUUCUAGCGAGAUUGCCACCACCUUUCCCCUUCCAGCCGAUCGCAGCUGUCUGAUCACAAACCGACAGCCCAGAUCGGAUUUGACCAGGUCAAUACCGGUCAAGCCGAGAUGCAUGCUGCUUUUGCAAGAAGGCCCCUAUUUUUCUCUCUUUUUGCACUUGAGGUCCUACGCAGUUCAAAAGUAAUUAGAUCUAGAUCCUUUUUCUUCUGUUUUAGCCCUGUUCUUUUAUAAAAUCCCACCCGCCAUCCUGUUUGGUAUUUUGACAUGUUAGACCUUCUAUUUAUAUGUUUAAUUAGGUUUUAGCCCUUGGUUUCUUUAAGUUUAGCUCUUGGAAGUUUAGUUUUCUCGCAGUUAAGCCCCUGAACCUUGUUUAGUUCAUAUCUUUAGCGUUUUAAAUCCGUUUUAAGAGAUUCUUACGCCCAUAAGUUCGUGUUGAUGCAUAGAUUAGUUGACUUAUACGGACCUUGCUGAUUCAGCUCCUUCAUUGUGCUUCAGAUCUCGCUAGUGAAGAAUAAUGGAUGGGCUUUGGUUGAGCUUGUAGAUCGACCUGCAGUUGCAGUGAAUGUGCUGAGGACUGGCGGUACCAAUAAUGGGAGGCCGCUGCUCUGCUUGCUACCAAGGCCUGCGACGCUUGGACGCCAUUCAGAGUGCAUAAUUUCCAAGGAUCUCAAGGGCUCCACACCACGUUCCAAGUGUUUUUUCUUUGCCGAGUGUUUUUAGCUCGGCACUUGGCAAAGAGCUUGUUUGCCGAGUGUCCGAAAAAAACACUUGGCAAAGAGAAAACACUCGGCAAAUUUGAUGUUUCCCGUAGUGAUGUACUAUUCAAACUUGAACUGGGAUGCAGGCUUCAGUACCAAAGAGAGCUCUGGGCGCGGGUGAGCAGUGAGCUGGCCGGGCAGGGAGCUCCAAAGCGACAGCAACAAAGAGAGAAAUGCUAAGAGUAAGAACGACACACGAGGUCACUUCACAUAGAUAAUAGCAGUACGAACCAUACAAUAUCCUCUCUCAGUUUCACUCCGCCUCACACACGGCUAGCACACCAUGCAUGCCGAUUUCAUAUUAUUAAUAUUAUUUUUUGGAUGGUUGUUGAAACUAUAUAUAUAGUUAGUCCAAUCUCACGUUUCCGAUUAUAAAAAUCAACGUAAAGAGAUCGGUAGGGAGAGCCGGCAUAAUGAAGCCGACGCGUGUAAUAAGCACCAGAGCCGGCAUUUAUACAAACUGGUACGAAUAGUAAAAAACUAGAAUUUAUAAAUAAAAAAAUGAUUUGCACAUCUAUGCAAUAAUUAGGGGUUAGUGGCAGGUCUAGAGAGAUAUCUCAUCAUUAUAUCCGGUUUAACGAGGAUAAAAAAGAGUGUAUUUUCCACUCAUCAUGUUGUCUUUUCGCAGCGGUACCACUUUUCGUGUGUUGUAUCGGUCCCCUAAUACGGAGUCUCCGAGGCCCGAGAAAAUAAGGAAAGUGAUAGUAGCCCAGAAAUCGGCCAAGUUUCUUUCCCCUUUGGCUUUCCUACUAGGAUUCAGAAUCCUCUUUCGCAUGACAAUCUUAAUUAUCUCCCAUACUCCAAAACUCACAAAAACAUCAAGAGUCCGCUGAGAAUAAAUUUAAGUAAAAAACAUGCACACACAGAUAAUAAUAAUAAUCAUGUUUCCAUAAAAUUGCUAAGUCCAGAGAUAAUACAUAAACAUAGUAGACUGUUCAUGACACAUAUCACGGUGGACAGUGUUUGUGUCCUUAUUACAAGCAACGAGAGAUGCUCGUCACCAACACGCGCGCGCACAGAUGCACGACAUACAUAUAGUAGAGACCAACAGAUGGUCGUCCCAUAUGGUGAACAAUUUAUUGGAGAUAAAUAUUAACGUAACUUGGCCAUAGCUUGAAGCAUAGCAACAUAUGCCUAUGAGUGGCAUUCAUGCUAUCGUUUUAGGCUUGUCCAGCUCCUUCCAUCUUAGCAAGCACUUCCAUUUCUACCAUCUUAGCAGCAACUGUCAAAUUGAGAUACGGAAAUCCCAUUAGCGCAUGAGUUAAUUUUGCAGUGGAAAUAGAGUACAAGAUGUCUUCAUGAUGUAAGUAAUAUGCCUGAAGUUGUGAGAUGGGAAGUGAAGUCAACAAAUUACAUUAACGGAAAUGCAUGGAAGGCCACACAUACGUAUUAGUCCAUGAUAUGCUACAAAGCUUGUAUGUACAUAUAGCAAAUUAAAUGCAUUAAUUGAAUAGAGUGUGUUUAGUGAAUUUACCAGAAUCGUCCAGAAAACAUGGGAAACAGCAAGUGUUCUUGCAGACUGCGUCGGAGGCACCCGCACGAAUACAAAGCUGACAACAUAGUUUUGCCUGGGCGGAUGCGCAGCAGCCGCACUCCGCCGCGGUGGGGUUAACAUUGAGGCUCAAGAUGACCAGGCACAUGAUCACCAUCAAAGUGGUAGUCCUCUUUCCCUCCAUUGCCUCCUCUUAGCUUGCUGCUACCUUCCUUGGUUACCUAGCUAAGUUUAUUGGUUUUGUGUUGAGAGGUGUGAUUCUUGAAUGGACGUUGCCGGCGGCAAUUUAUAGGCAGCUGAGCUAUGUGAUGAUAUGGACUAGGUGCAAAUGGGUGGUUAAUGGCAAGGAAAGGGGCGUCAGACAAAGCCCAAUGGCAACUGCUGACAUGCGAUUAAAUUCAGAUCCACAUCCGGCCAUUCAAU